rnacentral:rRNA from 1 species
AACGAACGCUGGCGGCAGGCCUAACACAUGCAAGUCGAACGAUAAGCCACCUUCGGGUGGUGGACAGUGGCAGACGGGUGAGUAACGCGUGGGAACGUGCCUUUCGGUUCGGAAUAACCCAGGGAAACUUGGGCUAAUACCGGAUACGCCCUUCGGGGGAAAGAUUCAUUGCCGAAAGAUCGGCCCGCGUCGGAUUAGCUAGUUGGUGGGGUAAUGGCUCACCAAGGCGACGAUCCGUAGCUGGUCUGAGAGGAUGACCAGCCACACUGGGACUGAGACACGGCCCAGACUCCUACGGGAGGCAGCAGUGGGGAAUAUUGGACAAUGGGCGCAAGCCUGAUCCAGCCAUGCCGCGUGGGUGAAGAAGGCCUUAGGGUUGUAAACCCCAUUCAGCGGGGAAGAUAAUGACGGUACCCGCAGAAGAA